rnacentral:lncRNA from 1 species
UAGAACGAUACCCUACUUACAUCUAUACUACAAUUGUCAAAAAGAGGGUUUAAUUUUGUGUGUUAACUUAUUUCUCACAUCAAACCAUGACAUGAGUAAUGUAUUCCUCACAUCCCUUCAACAUAAGUCUCUUGGCUCUUAGACAAGAAAUAUGACUAUUAAGUAAAAUCCUUCAUUCACCCUGAAAUUCCACAAGUGGCCCUCCAAGAGGAUGAAAGACUACCAACUUCCGAAAAUAGUCAAUAUGAAUGUGAUGCCUUGAUAACAAAUUCAUACCUAAGAUAAGGUCAAAUUCUACCAUAUGUAAGGGUACAAGAUCCACUUCCAUGAGUACCGCAUCGAUGAAAAUCAGACAAUUUUUGAAUUCCCAAUUUAUUCGAAUAGUUUCUCUCGAAGGGAUAAAUAGCCCAAACUCAUAAUAUAAAGGAAUAGGUGGAAUAUUUGCCAUACGCGCAAAUUGAGGAGAUAAGCAAGAAUGAGUAGCAGCUGGGUCAAUUAAAACCCGAGCAAGAUAUCAAAAAGCAUUCAACGUACCAGUAAUAACAUUAGGAUCCUCAUCAGCCUGCUAAUGAUUCAUAGCAAACAUUGAUUCUGUGUUGCACCACUCGAACUACCUGAAGUACAUCCGCCACGUGAUCUCUGAGUCUGACUUCUACGACCCUGUCUGUUAUUCUGGUUCCAACUACCAAAGGUUCCACCACUGGACUGCCCUUGAGAAGUAUUCUACUGAACAAACAGCGAAGUAGAUUAUGGAACUAGAGGCAUAACAAGCUGAGGAAACUGAUGAAUAUGAGGAUAAGCAUACGAACUGGGCUGAAAUAACUGAUGCCCAUAAGCAGGAUAAAGUGCAAACUGUUGAUAUGGAUUAUCCGGAACUUCAAGCUCAAGCUGCUGAGUCAUCCCAUAAGAUAUCCUUGAAUAUUGCUUCAAAUUAGGCCAAUUCCUCCAAUAAUGUCCCGGCUGACCAUGAUUAAAACAAACUCAUGUACCCGAUCAUCGUAUAUGAAGCAAGUAGUGCAUAGAUGUACAUUGUCCUCACGAAAAGAGCCACCCCGAGAUCCAUUGCUAGAGGAUUGGCUACUACCAUUUGAAUCCUUGUUGGCACGAACUGUAAUACUAUUAGAUCUACCGCUAGUAGACCUAGAAGGCUAACCCUUCUUCUUAAAAGUCAUCUUACUCUUCAUUCUGCUCAUAGAUAAUGCUUCUUUAAUAUUUUUGGCCUUGAACUUACUCUUAAAUCGUCCAAGUUGUUUUCCAUCAUCACUAGUGCUUGCUUGUUUACCCUUUACUGACUGCUUUUUCUUCUUCUAAUUAAUCACUUGUUCAAUUUGUUGAGCUGUGAGGAAAGCUGUUUCAUACGUGACACUGUCAUUGACCACAACAUAGGUGCAUAACUCGGGAUUAAGGCAAAAAAUAACCUACUUCCUCUUCUCAUUGACGUUAUCACGAAUACCAGGGCAAUACUCGACCAAGCGCCAAAAGUCUCGUUCAUAGUCGACAAGAACCAUGUUUCCUUGCUUGAGAGCUAGAAACUCUAGCCUCAUAAUAGCUUGAAACUCAGGGCUAAAAAAACUGUUGAACCGCUCCUUAAAGAGAUCCCAAGUCUAAACCUUAUCAGCUCGAAGAUUAAAACGCUCCGUCUUCCACCAAUUCUUGGCACUGUCGACCAUGAAGAAAGUUAUCAUACUCACUCUCUGGUCGCAUCAUCUAUACGCUCCAACUAAGAUUCAGCUUCUGCUACAGUUCCAUGACCAUCAAGAGAGUAGGCACUAUGACUCAUUGCAAUUUUUGUUGAGUGCAACCACAAUUCGCAUUAGGAAUUAGUUAGGCCAAUGCCUCAAUUAAUUGUUGUAACAUGUAUGUUUCUCAUAACCAUGCUCUGAUACCAAACUGAUACACCUCAAUCCCAAUAACAUAAGUUACGAGGCUGUGAUGUGCUGGCAGAUGCUAAAUUGACCAUAUGACCUCAUCCGGAGAUGACAUCACAAGCCAACUUAAGGACGAAGCCAUAGUAAUAUAUUUAUGAUGUGAAGGAAUUUGAACCAAAAACAUUCAUUAAUAAUAAAUCCAAAUUUAUUACAAGAAAUCACUUAUCAUCCUCCCUACUUGGGGACACAAAUUAUCUCAGGCUUAAACCCGUUAUUAUCACAUUAUGUCAAAGCAGCUAGAAGUUUCACAUAAUAGUAAACACAUAAAAGUGCAGUGCUAUGCAUAAUAAAAAAUAUGAUCAUGCAUCACCCAAUAUCCAGAGGAUGAAAGCUUCACUUCUAAGCCCACUCGUCACCACCAAUGUUCUCCUUACUUUCGUUACCUCUUGAAGGGGUCAAUAAAACAAAAUGUGAAUGGACCAGUUUUAUCACAGUUAUAAGAUCAUCAUUUGACAUAACAACCCCUGUUUUGAAAACAUAUAUAGCAAAAACUAUUAAUAAUAUUUACUACCAUAAUAGUAAAAUCUCAUCAAUCUCUACAAUCGAAAAUAUUCAAUCCAAGUUUAGAAAUUAUACCUUAACUUAAUCAAUCACACUGGGGUCCACUAGCAUAAGUAUAGCAAGCAGGAUAUACUAGCGUCAACUAGCCAAACUCAAUACCAGUAGUAAUCAACAACCCUAGCAUUUACUAGGAUAAAUAUCCCCUGCAAGUAAUGUACGACUGAAGAUAACUAUACAACAUAUAUAAGAGAACAUGUAGUGAAAAUAAAUCACCAAUGAUCUAAAGAUAUUGUCAAAUCGUCAUAAGUUUUAUCAAAGACCAACAUAGUAAUAUGCAUCCGCAUAUAAAGCAUCUCUAAACACACACACGCACACACACACACACAUAUAUAUACACGUAAAAAUGUUUAGUUUUUGAAGGGGUCCACUCACAGGUAAGCAGAGCGUCCUUCGCCAUUAGGCUCCCCACCUAAAUCCUUUUUUAUCCUCUAAUACCUUGUGAUAGUCAAUAUAAGCUAAAUCAAGCUUUAAUCAUCAAUUUAUGGGAUAUUGCCCAAAAAUACCAUUUAGGUAUUGAAUUUGCACAAACAAAGGGCACCACAUUAUUUAGAACAUCGAAAAAACUAGGCUUAGGUCUCGGGUCCGACAAGCGUCACCGUAUACGCCGCCACAUGCUGCCGUGUGUGUGCGUGUGUAUAUAUAUAAUGUAAAAAUUUAGUUUUUGAAGGGGUCCACUCACAAGUUAGCAGAACGUCCUUUGCCACUAGGCUCUUUGCCUAAAUCCUUUUUGAUCCUCUAAUAACCCUGUGAUAGUCAAUAUAAGCUAAAUCAAGCUUUAUCAUCAAUUUAAGGGACAUUGCCCAAAAAUACCAUUUAUGUAUUGAAUUUACACAAACGGAGGGUGCCACGUUACUUAGAACAUGAUGCGUAAAAUAACUAAACACACAAAUUAAACCCUCUUUUUAUCAAUUGUAGUAAAGUAUGUAAGUAGGG